UGUGAGUUUGUUCGUCCGAGUGUCCGCAGGAUGAAGCUGGUAUUCGUCUUCCUCGCAGCGUUGGCAACAGUGCUGGGCCUAUUGCACUGUGCAAACGCCCUCCCCCACCCCCACCCCUUCCCCAACCCUCGCCCUGAACCGCGCCGCCCUAGCAAGCCACUGUUUGACCCCAAGUUCAGCUAUGGCUACCACUCGAAGCCCUAUUAUGGGGACUACCUGCCUACGUACCGAUGGUGACGCGGUGAUGGGGUGAUGGUGAAGUUGAUGGUGCUGAUGGUGGUGAGGGUGGUGAGGGUGGUGACUCCCUCGGUCGACUUCAGCGGCAUGGCUGGAGGAGCGCUGAGACCUGGCAUUAUUUUUUUCUAUUAUUAGCAUUAUUAUUAUUAAGGUUUAUUAGUGUCUUUUUUGGGGCGGCUGGUCUGGAAUAAAUCUGAGGUUUUUUC